rnacentral:rRNA from 1 species
UCCGGUUGAUCCUGCCAGUAGUCAUAUGCUUGUCUCAAAGAUUAAGCCAUGCAAGUCUCAGCACUAGCCACAUUAAGGCUAAACCGCAAAAGGCUCAUUAAAUCAAUUAUGGUUCCUUGGAUCGUACAAUAACUGUGGUAGUUCUACAACUAAUACAUGCAAACAGAAUCCCGACCAGCGAUGGAAAGACCCUUUUAUUAGAUCAAAACCAAUCGGGUCACUAGCCCCCCACUUCUUGGUGCCUGAAUAAUUUUCAGCUGAUCGCACGGUCCUCGUACCGGCGACACAUCUUUCAAAUGUCUGACUUAUCAACUGUCGACGGUAGAUUCUGCGCCUACCAUGGUUGUAAUGGGUAACGGGGAAUCAUUGUUCGAUUCCGGAGAGGGAGCCUGAGAAACGGCAACCACAUCCAAGGAAGGCAGCAGGCGCGCAAAUUACCCACUCCCGGCACGGGGAGGUAGUGACGAAAAAUAACGAUACGGGACUCAUCCGAGGCCCCGUAAUCGGAAUGAGUACACUUUAAAUCCUUUAACGAGUACCAAUUGGAGGGCAAGUCUGGUGCCAGCAGCCGCGGUAAUUCCAGUUCUAAUAGCGUAGGCCUAUAUUAGUUGUUGCGGUUAAAAAGCUCUUAGUUGGAUAUGUAUUUUACGAUGUCGGUUCUUCGCUCGCGACGUUAAUUGGCAUGUCCUGUGGGAUGUCCUGCCGGUGGCGGUCCGGGCUCCCGGUGGUGUGUAGGGUUCGCAUGACGCAUCCCGAGGGUUCCGGCCGCUGAUUCAAUCCCGCCGCGGUGCUCUUGACUGAGUGUCGAGGUGGGCCGGCACGUUUACUUUGAACAAAUUAGAGUGCUUAAAGCAGGCUGAUUUCUGCCUGAAUACUGUGUGCAUGGAAUAAUGGAAUAGGACUUCGGUUCUAUUUUGUUGGUUUUAAGAAUCCGAAGUAAUGAUUAAUAGGGACAGGCGGGGGCAUUCGUAUUGCGACGUUAGAGGUGAAAUUCUUGGAUCAUCGAAAGACGUACCUAAGCGAAAGCAUUUGCUAAGUAUGCCCUCGUUAAAUAAAAACUAAAGUUAAAAUUUCGAAGGUGAUCAGAUACCGCCCUUAUUCUAACCAUAAACGAUGCCAGCCAGCGAUCCGCAGAAGUUCCUCCGAUGACUCGGUGGGCAGCUUCCCGAAACCCAAAGCUUUUGGGUUCCGGGGGAAGUAUGGUUACAAAGGUUGAAAAUGGUUGACAAUAAACAAAUAUAUUCACAUAUUCUUUAAAACUCUCGCAAACCAUUUAAAAAAUUACAAAUAUAAAUAUAUAUGUGAGACGUGUAAGAAAUCCCCAGAAUGGGAAAGUAUUAAUUUUAAACCAUCACAUGACAAAAACAGAAACCAAAGUGUAGACCUUGAUUUAAAGAGUAAAGCAGAUGAUC